CCGAUGCAAACUGCGAAUACCGGAGAAUGUUAUCACGGGAGACACACGGCGGGUGCUAACGUCCGUCGUGAAGAGGGAAACAACCCAGACCGCCAGCUAAGGUCCCAAAGUCAUGGUUAAGUGGGAAACGAUGUGGGAAGGCCCAGACAGCCAGGAUGUUGGCUUAGAAGCAGCCAUCAUUUAAAGAAAGCGUAAUAGCUCACUGGUCGAGUCGGCCUGCGCGGAAGAUGUAACGGGGCUAAACCAUGCACCGAAGCUGCGGCAGCGACGCUGAUGCGUUGUUGGGUAGGGGAGCGUUCUGUAAGCCUGUGAAGGUGGCCUGUGAGGGUUGCUGGAGGUAUCAGAAGUGCGAAUGCUGACAUAAGUAACGAUAAAGCGGGUGAAAAGCCCGCUCGCCGGAAGACCAAGGGUUCCUGUCCAACGUUAAUCGGGGCAGGGUGAGUCGACCCCUAAGGCGAGGCCGAAAGGCGUAGUCGAUGGGAAACGGGUUAAUAUUCCCGUACUUGGUGUUACUGCGAAGGGGGGACGGAGAAGGCUAUGUUGGCCGGGCGACGGUUGUCCCGGUUUAAGCGUGUAGGUGUGUGUUCCAGGUAAAUCCGGUUCACUUUAACACUGAGGCGUGACGACGAGGCACUACGGUGCUGAAGCAACAAAUGCCCUGCUUCCAGGAAAAGCCUCUAAGCAUCAGGUAACAUCAAAUCGUACCCCAAACCGACACAGGUGGUCAGGUAGAGAAUACCAAGGCGCUUGAGAGAACUCGGGUGAAGGAACUAGGCAAAAUGGUGCCGUAACUUCGGGAGAAGGCACGCUGACACGUAGGUGAAGUGAUUUACUCAUGGAGCUGAAGUCAGUCGAAGAUACCAGCUGGCUGCAACUGUUUAUUAAAAACACAGCACUGUGCAAACACGAAAGUGGACGUAUACGGUGUGACGCCUGCCCGGUGCCGGAAGGUUAAUUGAUGGGGUCAGCGCAAGCGAAGCUCCUGAUCGAAGCCCCGGUAAACGGCGGCCGUAACUAUAACGGUCCUAAGGUAGCGAAAUUCCUUGUCGGGUAAGUUCCGACCUGCACGAAUGGCGUAAUGAUGGCCAGGCUGUCUCCACCCGAGACUCAGUGAAAUUGAACUCGCUGUGAAGAUGCAGUGUACCCGCGGCAAGACGGAAAGACCCCGUGAACCUUUACUAUAGCUUGACACUGAACAUUGAGCCUUGAUGUGUAGGAUAGGUGGGAGGCUUUGAAGUGUGGACGCCAGUCUGCAUGGAGCCGACCUUGAAAUACCACCCUUUAAUGUUUGAUGUUCUAACGUGGACCCGUGAUCCGGGUUGCGGACAGUGUCUGGUGGGUAGUUUGACUGGGGCGGUCUCCUCCUAAAGAGUAACGGAGGAGCACGAAGGUUGGCUAAUCCUGGUCGGACAUCAGGAGGUUAGUGCAAUGGCAUAAGCCAGCUUGACUGCGAGCGUGACGGCGCGAGCAGGUGCGAAAGCAGGUCAUAGUGAUCCGGUGGUUCUGAAUGGAAGGGCCAUCGCUCAACGGAUAAAAGGUACUCCGGGGAUAACAGGCUGAUACCGCCCAAGAGUUCAUAUCGACGGCGGUGUUUGGCACCUCGAUGUCGGCUCAUCACAUCCUGGGGCUGAAGUAGGUCCCAAGGGUAUGGCUGUUCGCCAUUUAAAGUGGUACGCGAGCUGGGUUUAGAACGUCGUGAGACAGUUCGGUCCCUAUCUGCCGUGGGCGCUGGAGAACUGAGGGGGGCUGCUCCUAGUACGAGAGGACCGGAGUGGACGCAUCACUGGUGUUCGGGUUGUCAUGCCAAUGGCACUGCCCGGUAGCUAAAUGCGGAAGAGAUAAGUGCUGAAAGCAUCUAAGCACGAAACUUGCCCCGAGAUGAGUUCUCCCUGAGACUUAGAGUCUCCUGAAGGAACGUUGAAGACGACGACGUUGAUAGGCCGGGUGUGUAAGCGCAGCGAUGCGUUGAGCUAACCGGUACUAAUGAACCGUGAGGCUUAACCUUACA
rnacentral:rRNA from 1 species